rnacentral:rRNA from 1 species
UGAACGCUGGCGGCGUGCCUAAUACAUGCAAGUCGAGCGAACAGAUGAGGAGCUUGCUCCUCUGACGUUAGCGGCGGACGGGUGAGUAACACGUGGAUAACCUACCUAUAAGACUGGGAUAACUUCGGGAAACCGGAGCUAAUACCGGAUAAUAUAUUGAACCGCAUGGUUCAAUAGUGAAAGACGGUUUUGCUGUCACUUAUAGAUGGAUCCGCGCCGCAUUAGCUAGUUGGUAAGGUAACGGCUUACCAAGGCAACGAUGCGUAGCCGACCUGAGAGGGUGAUCGGCCACACUGGAACUGAGACACGGUCCAGACUCCUACGGGAGGCAGCAAUAGGGAAUCUUCCGCAAUGGGCGAAAGCCCGACGGAGCAACGCCGCGUGAGUGAUGAAGGUCUUCGGAUCGUAAAACUCUGUUAUUAGGGAAGAACAAAUGUGUAAGUAACUAUGCACGUCUUGACGGUACCUAAUCAGAAAGCCACGGCUAACUACGUG